ensembl:rRNA 5S_rRNA 5S ribosomal RNA
AGCCACAGCCGUAUUAACCUGCAGCCCAAAAGUGGUUACUCACUGAAGCUAAGCAGGUCUGAGCCUGGUCAGUACCUGGAUGGGAGACCACUAGGGAAAGCAAGGUUGCUGUUGGAA